GGAAUCUUCCACAAUGGACGCAAGUCCGAUGGAGCAACGCCGCGUGAGUGAAGAAGGUUUUCGGAUCGUAAAGCUCUGUUGUUGGUGAAGAAGGAUAGAGGCAGUAACUGGUCUUUAUUUGACGGUAAUCAACCAGAAAGUCACGGCUAACUACGUGCAAG
rnacentral:rRNA from 1 species